UAGCUCAGGAAUAUCCAAAUGUCUUGCUUACCGUAGAAAGACUGAAAUUUGAUAAAGAGUGCAGCGGUGGGUAACGUGAGGGGGCUACCAUAAACAGUGAUUAAACCAGUUUUUAAUAAUGAAUAGAAUCCUUUCAUUAUCUUGUGCCACAUUUUAUCCUAAUCUUUCAUAUAGGAAACCGAUCAAAUUUUAAUUAUUGACUAUCAAAAGUUAAUUUUGUGGGUUUUUGGUUGGAGGAUAUAGAGGCUUCACAUUUCACACGACUAUUCAAGAGAGUUGGCUGACAAAACAGGCAUGCUGGAGCUUUCAUUCCUAGGGUUUAGCAAUUGUGCAGGAGACUGCAGGUAAUAAAUCAUGGUGGCUAGGUGGCAUGUGCAAUGCAAUUCACGUGCCUUGUCUCUGUUAUCACAGUUUGCAUAUAUGCAAGGGAGCUCAUGAAUAUAUUGAAGCAAUAUAUUUGGGAAGGAUUAUUUUGUUUCCUGUGAACUUUACCCAUUUUUUCUCAUCAGUAUUGUUGAUACAAUUUGUGAAGAAUCUUGAGGUGUCCCAAAAAGAUGGAAUGCAAUAGGCAAGAUCGUACAAGUUCACACGAGCAUAUAAGAAAAUGGUAGCACCUGUCAAUUCUACUAAGCACAUUUAGAUUUGUAGCAUAUCCUAUUGAUUCUAUGAUGUCCAUAAAAGAUAACGAAACAUUGAGAAUAAAUAUGAAUGCUUUUAUUUUGUAGAAUUUGCAUAGAUAUGCUACCAUUGCAUUAAUACACAUGUUUUGAUUUUGUA